rnacentral:rRNA from 1 species
UACGGAGGAUGCGAGCGUUAUCCGGAUUUAUUGGGUUUAAAGGGUGCGCAGGCGGUCUGUUAAGUCAGCGGUCAAAGCCCGGGGCUCAACCCCGCUCCGCCGUUGAAACUGUGUCCCUUGAGUGCGCGAAGGGUAGGCGGAAUGCGUGGUGUAGCGGUGAAAUGCAUAGAUAUCACGCAGAACUCCGAUCGCGAAGGCAGCCUACCGGCGCGCAACUGACGCUGAGGCACGAAAGCGUGGGUAUCGAACAGG